rnacentral:rRNA from 1 species
CCUACGGGAGGCUGCAGUGAGGAAUAUUGGUCAAUGGGCGGGAGCCUGAACCAGCCAAGCCGCGUGAGGGAAGAAGGUACAGCGUAUCGUAAACCUCUUUUGUCAGGGAACAAAGGCGGGGACUAGUCCCCGGAUGAGGGUACCUGAAGAAAAAGCAUCGGCUAACUCCGUGCCAGCAGCCGCGGUAAUACGGAGGAUGCGAGCGUUAUCCGGAUUUAUUGGGUUUAAAGGGUGCGCAGGCGGCCUGUUAAGUCAGCGGUAAAAGCCCGGGGCUCAACCUCGGCGAAGCGGUUGAGAUUGGGCGGCUAGAGAGGAGUAGCGGUAGGCGGAAGGUAGGGUGUAGCGGUGAAAGGAUUAGAGAUAGGACAGAAGACCGAUGGCGAAGGCAGCGUACCGACUGACUUCUGACGGUGAGGCACGAAAGCGUGGGGAGCAAACAGGAUUAGAUACCCUAGUAGUC